rnacentral:lncRNA from 1 species
CAACAUAUUGUUAACACAGUUGCUUUUCCAAGGGAGAUCUGUGUAAGAGGACUGAGAGAACAGUGACUGGUCACCCUCCUGCAAUGUCACAAUCCCUCCUGGACCUUUUGAGUGGCUAGGCUGGAAACAUCCUAAGGGGAUUUUUCUGCUUCUUCUUUUUCCCCUCCUUUCACUACAUCGGGCUUGUCUUCCUGCUGUCUUAAGGAGACCACCUACAAUUUAAGGAAAUAAAGACCUCUGUGAAAAAACACAGGCAAACCUGAUAUUUAAGGGUGUUCCUUACAGCAUUCUACUCCCUGAAGAUCACGUGCCUUGACUUCAGACCUGAAAAGAAGAGAAGGAAAGAAGCCCUUACAAUUUAGAGCAAAGGCCACCUUUCCUCAUUGAGGUACUAAGCAGAGACAUAAAUUACAGGGUGUCUGUUUCAGGCCCCUUUCAAUAUAUGGCUCCUAUAAGAGCUCUAGAGUAAGAUAAUCCUCUGGAGAUCAGAGGCAGCACAUUAUUAGCAGGAGC